GAUGAACGCUGGCGGCGUGCUUAACACAUGCAAGUCGAACGGAAAGGCCCAAGCUUGCUUGGGUACUCGAGUGGCGAACGGGUGAGUAACACGUGGGUGAUCUGCCCUGCACUUCGGGAUAAGCCUGGGAAACUGGGUCUAAUACCGGAUAGGACGAUGGUUUGGAUGCCAUUGUGGAAAGUUUUUUCGGUGUGGGAUGAGCUCGCGGCCUAUCAGCUUGUUGGUGGGGUAAUGGCCUACCAAGGCGUCGACGGGUAGCCGGCCUGAGAGGGUGUACGGCCACAUUGGGACUGAGAGACGGCCCAGGCUCCUACGGGAGGCAGCAGUGGGGAAUAUUGCACAAUGGGCGCAAGCCUGAUGCAGCGACGCCGCGUGGGGGAUGACGGCCUUCGGGUUGUAAACUCCUUUCGCUAGGGACGAAGCGUUUUUGUGACGGUACCUGGAGAAGAAGCACCGGCUAACUACGUG
rnacentral:rRNA from 1 species